CCUACGGGUGGCAGCAGUGGGGAAUAUUGCACAAUGGGGGAAACCCUGAUGCAGCGACGCCGCGUGAGUGAAGAAGUAUUUCUGUAUGUAAAGCUCUAUCAGCAGGGAAGAAAAUGACGGUACCUGAUUAAUACCCCCCGGCUAACUACGUGCCAGCAGCCGCGGUAAUACGUCGGGGGCAAGCGUUAUCCGGAUUUACUGGGUGUAAAGGGGGCGUAGACGGCAGCACAAGUCUGGAGUGAAAUGCCGGGGCUUAACCCCGGAACUGCUGUGGAAACUGGGCAGCUUGAGUGCAGGAGAGGUAAGUGGAAUGCGUAGUGUAGCGGUGAAAUGCGUAGAUAUUAGGAAGAACACCAGUGGCGAAGGCAGCGUACUGGACUGUAACUGACGUUGAGGCUCGAAAGCGUGGGGAGCAAACAGGAUUAGAUACCCUUGUAGUC
rnacentral:rRNA from 1 species